rnacentral:rRNA from 1 species
UACGGAGGGGGCUAGCGUUGUUCGGAAUUACUGGGCGUAACGCGCACGUAGGCGGAUCAGUCAGUUAGAGGUGAAAGCCCAGGGCUCAACCCUGGAACUGCCUUUAAUACUGCUGGUCUGGAGUCCGAGAGAGGUGAGUGGAAUUCCGAGUGUAGAGGUGAAAUUCGUAGAUAUCGUAAGGAAGACCAGUGGCGAAGGCGAAUCUCUGGACAGUUACUGACACUGAGGCACGAAGGCCAGGGGAGCAAACGGG